rnacentral:lncRNA from 1 species
AUAUGUAAUGGGAUGUAUAAAACUACAAGUCUUGACUUCUUGCAAAUCUAGACUAAAGGUGCAAGUUUUAUAUUGCAUUUGCUUAUUCUACUAGUGUUUCGAUUCUGUGAUAGAUAUUUUUGCUAGUUGUAAAUUGUAAGAAAUGAUGAAUCGAGAUCUGUCAACUUGCACAAGGUCAAAUUACCACAAAAGAGCUCUUCUGGUGAAGAAAUCUGGUCUAGAGAUGAGCACAUAGAUAAAAUAAAAGCUUCCAAGGUGUUGAGAAUAGCGCUUGGAAAAAAUAUAGAGCAACUUGAUUAUUAUCUUGAUUGAUC